UGCAGUUUGUGGGGAUGGUUAUGUGGACACAAAAGCAAAAUUAUGGUGAAGAAAGCAUGUUGUACGGUUUAUAUGUCUUUCAAACGUUUUUCCCCUCAAUGCGUCGAAACACUACGCAUCUGCUGGUAGGCAUAUCUCAGAGAUAUUGCGGGUUCAGUUCCAGACCACUGCAGUAAAGCUUCUUCAUUGCUGUUGUUGAGGGAUGAAGUUUCAAGGUUCUCUACUCUGCUGUUUUCACUGAUUUCUGUCCAAAGGAGAGAGUGGGUGAGCAGGCCAACAAGAAAGUGCA